GUUUAAUAAUGGGUUCAAUAAUUAAACCCUCUCGGCUUCUCUGGUUAAUUUGUUACUGUGAACUAGAACCAAAGCAGAUGGUACAACUUUGUCUUAUACAGAAAGUAGUGCCCUUUAAUGGAUAUGAACUGUCUUUUGCACUUGAUUCAUUAUUCAAGCUAUUUUGCAAUUUUGGGUAAAAGUUGGUAAAUUUGAUUGAAUGGCCUGGAAGUAUUUUUUGUUUUAAACAAUUUUGUGGUUAUUUAAUGCAUGGUUUCAAUGAUGGUGAUUUUUAAGAGCGAAACUAUUUAAGAACUGUUAAUUUGCAAUUUGAUUGACGUGGUAAUGCAAUACUUCUCAUUUCAGAUUAUAUCUUUUUUUUUUUUUUUCGUUUUUUUUUUUGGUGCUAUAGUUGUCAGGAAUUAAAGUGCUAGAAGCUGACAUUCAAAGAUCUGUCUUUUGAAGAUGAAUGUUUUCAUGUGGUCAGAGAGAAUGGAACCAUGGUAAAGUUACAGUUAGCGGCAUUAUCAAUUUGACAACAUUGUAGGAUUCUGUGCUGAAAGUUUAUUACUAACUUCCGUUCGAAGAGUGGUAUAGGUUUGUACUAGCACAUAGUUGUGAGAGUAGGACCUAGCAGAAGUAGAUAACAACAGUUUUUGUGGAUUUGGUGAUUCUUUGAUACUUUUUACUGCGUUUGAGAGUGGAAGUGGAAAUAUCCCAGGUAUGUUUUUGUUUUAAUUUUUAAUUCUGACUUUUAAAUAUUCUUUCUUCCAGAUUUUAUAUGGUUUCUUCCCCCAUAAUUACUUCAAUUUUAACUGAAAAACGUUGUUUUGACAGAAGAGGCUGGUUACCUUUUAUUAAAUAUGAGCAGAAAAGAGUUGCCAGGUAAUUUAAACUACAAUAGCAACAAGAGUAAUAUGAUUCUUCAAUUUUAAGUUGAGAGUGAGCAUAUAGAUACGAUAAAACGAUUAUCUAUCUUCUUUUGAAGCUGUUUUUGCGAGAUUUUAGCAAAUUGAUCCUAAACUAUCAUAGAAAUCUCAAAAGAAGCCUUCAAAUUAAUUUCUAUAUUUUACUGUUGAAUGUUGAUAAUUUUUUGUUUAUUUUUGCGAGGUUCUAACAAAUCGGUCUUAAAAUACAGUAGAAAUCUGACCAGAAAUUUCAGUUUGGUGACCUU
rnacentral:lncRNA from 1 species